CUUGAGGAUUUUAGUGAUA
rnacentral:snRNA from 1 species